rnacentral:pre_miRNA from 1 species
AAAUAGCCCCUAUGUUUUGAUUCUUUGGCAGUUUUGGACCCCAAGGCAAAAAAAAAAAAAAAAAUUGACACGUGGCACCUCACUUAGGGUGUCACGUCAGCGUUGACCGAGUCAACAAUGGACUGGGGGUCCAAAACUGCCAAAAAAUCAAAACAUAGGGGGCUGUUU